rnacentral:rRNA from 1 species
GCCUACGGCCAUGCCACCCUGGAAGCUCCCGAUCUCGUCUGAUCUCCGAAGUUAAGCAGGAUCGGGCCCGGUUAGUACUUGGAUGAUGGGAGAUUGAGCCCCAAGCCCUGUGUGUC